AUUGACCGCUGUCGGCAGGCCUAACACAUGCAAGUCGAACGAGUGGCGGACGGGUGAGUCAUGUCUGGGAAACUGCAUGCUUUAGGGAUAUAACUACUGUCACCGGUAGCUCAUACCGCCUCCCAUCAGCUGUGCCCAGAUGGGGGUAGCUAGUUGGUGGUGUCACGGCUCACCAAGGCGACGAUCCCUAGCUGGUCUGAGAGGAUGACCAGCCACACUGGAAAUGAGACACGGUCCAGACUCCUACGGGAGGCAGCAGGGGGGAAUAUUGCACAAUGGGCGCAAGCCUGAUGCAGCCAUGCCGCGUGUAUGAAGAAGGCCUUCGGGUUUGAAAGUACUUUCAGCGGGGAGGCGUUACCCGCAGAAGAAGCACCGGCUAACUCCGUGCCAGCAGCCGCGGUAAUUC
rnacentral:rRNA from 1 species